UGGGGAAUUUUCCGCAAUGGGGGGAACCCUGACGGAGCAACGCCGCGUGCGGGAGGACGGCCUGUGGGUUGUAAACCGCUUUUCUCUAGGAAGAAGGUCUGACGGUACUAGAGGGAUCAGCAUCGGCUAACUCCGUGCCAGCAGCCGCGGUAAGACGGAGGAUGCAAGCGUUAUCCGGAAUUAUUGGGCGUAAAGCGUCCGUAGGCGGAUCAUCAAGUCAGUUGUUUAAGACUGCAGCUCAACUGUGGGCGAGCAACUGAAACUGAUGAACUAGAGUGCGGUAGGGGUAGAGGGAAUUCCCAGUGUAGCGGUGAAAUGCGUAGAUAUUAGGAAGAACACCAGUGGCGAAGGCGCUCUACUGGGCCAAGACUGACGCUGAUGGACGAAAGCUAGGGGAGCGAAAGGGAUUAGAUACCCCCGUAGUCC
rnacentral:rRNA from 1 species